GGGAAUGAUUUGGCUUCGAUUGGAGUAGCAAGGGUUAGUUGCAUGCCGAUUUGAAUAUAUCGUAAAUCUAUUCAACCGUUUUUAAACGCAAACAAUACAAAUUAUACUCCAGCUUACGCAAAAGCUGCGUAAGUUUAUUUAAACUUUCGGAGGCUGCAUACCAUAGAUUCUAUCUAAGUGGUGUUGCGGUUAAUAAUAGAUAGAUUAUCCUUGUAGUUGAUCGGCUAUUUGGAGACAAUUUAGAUCUUAGCUUGAGAGUAGUUUUUUGGAGAGUGUACUACUUUUAAAGUGAAACUAAACAAUCUUUUCUAAGCAUGUAGACGCUAAUUUGAGUUAUUUCAAGACACGGGUUCGACCCCCGUCAUUUCCACCA
rnacentral:tmRNA from 1 species